CACGUAGGCACCAAGCGUUAUCCGGAUUUAUUGGGCGUAAAGAGCUCGUAGGCGGUUCGGUAAGUCGGGUGUGAAAACUCUGGGCUCAACCCAGAGAGGCCACCCGAUACUGCUGUGACUAGAGUGCGGUAGGGGAGCGGGGAAUUCCUGGUGUAGCGGUGAAAUGCGCAGAUAUCAGGAGGAACACCGGUGGCGAAGGCGGGUCUCUGGGACGGUACUGACGCUGAGACGCGAAAGCGUGGGGAGCGAACAGG
rnacentral:rRNA from 1 species